rnacentral:miRNA from 1 species
CAGCAGACACAUUCCAGCCAAUCAGCAGCAGACCCUCCCUCCCAGACCCUCCCACCUCCUGGACAGCAUCCAUUUUACAUUCAUUGUGAAGCUGCAUUCUUAGUGAGCUGUCCAGGAGGUAGGAGGGUCUGGGAGGGAGGGUCUGCUGCUGAUUGGCUGGAAUGUGUCUGCUG